UUAAAUGUUUUAUUCUAAAAUAAUCAGCAUUUGUAGCCAAUUUUUACUUACUGUAGUAUAAACUAAUAUCAAGCACUUUGCUUGACGAAUGCAAUUUUAUUCAUCGCAAUGGGGGUUUUUGAUUUGUUGUUUUUUCGUCAAAUCUUUGUAAGAAUCCGGUUGAUGGGUUCUCGGCCGGAUUGGUUGAUGAAAACAAUAUCUUUGAAUGGAGUGUUACAAUUAUCGGACCACCUGAUACUCUUUAAAUUUGAAUCAUAAAAACAUUGUCAAGUAUCUUGGAUCAUUGAAGACAACAACUCACCUGUAUAUAAUUCUUGAGUAUGUGGAGAAUGGUUCACUUGCAAACAUUAUCAAGCCAAAUAAAUUUGGGCCUUUUUCUGAAUCAUUGGUGGCUGUUUAUAUUGCCCAGGUUUUGGAAGGUUUGGUUUAUCUACAUGAAUAGGGUGUUAUCCAUCGGGAUAUCAAGGGUGCAAAUAUUUUGACAACUAAAGAGUUUUUAUUCGGGGUAGCUCAUGUUAUGAAGAAACCACUACUCAUGCAAGCUUGUGAAUUAGCAUUUGCCGAAUGUGAUGUUACAAAUGGAAUGCAAGCCCCGUGGUUGGUGGAGAUAGGUAUCUGCAAGGCUUAGCACUUCUUCAAGUGGAGUGUUAUUUAAUGUUGCAUUCCAAGGUCGUUUAUCUUAGUCGGAACUUGAAUUUGGUGUUAUUGAAACAGGGUUUUGUAGCUACCUUGUGUAUUAGCUUCUUUAACCAUGAUUGUUAAUUUAGAUUGUUCGUUUAUUUAAACAUAAUAUUUUAAUUCUAAAUUUAAAUUCAUUAAUUUUUA